rnacentral:rRNA from 1 species
UAAGGAAUAUUGGUUAAUGGACGCAAGUCUGAACCAGCCAUGCCGCGUGAAGGAUGAAGGUCCUCUGGAUUGUAAACUUCUUUUAUCUGGACGAAAACGGGAUUUUUAUCUCAAUUGACGGUACCAGAGGAAUAAGCACCGGCUAACUCCGUGCCAGCAGCCGCGGUAAUACGGAGGGUGCGAGCGUUAUCCGGAUUUACUGGGUUUAGAGGGUGCGUAGGUGGGCUUAUAAGUCAGUGGUGAAAUCUCCGAGCUUAACUUGGAAACUGCCGUUGAUACUAUAGGUCUUGAAUUAUCUGGAGGUAAGCGGAAUAUGUCAUGUAGCGGUGAAAUGCUUAGAUAUGACAUAGAACACCAAUUGCGAAGGCAGCUUACUACAUAUAAAUUGACGCUGAGGCACGAAAGCGUGGGGAUCAAACA